GUAAAAAUUAAAGCUUUUUGCCUCAAAAAUUGAUACAGUCAGACAGGGCAAAUGGCUCGCUCCGCGCAUCUGACGGCACACGCAUAACAUUUAUCCCUUUGCGUACAGCCGAGCGCAGCUUCAAGGCUGCACACUGAACCCGAUAAUCAUGGGCAAAGCAGCAAUUGGAGACACUCAUCACAACAAACAACAUUCUGAGCAACAAAAACAACUAUAAACAGUUACAAUUACGCACGCACGAGUUGCGAAUUACUGACACACAUUGUUAUCCUGUCGACAGCACCGAUAUCUGAUUGUUGGUGCGUGAUGGGUUAAUGAAUGGGCUAAAAUACAUCAUUUGCUUAAAUUUUAAUGCGAUUUAUAGAACCGUUCAUAAGUAACUGGUUUACAUACAAUUUAACCUGUGAUCAAGGCGCAUGCUUAUUUCUGCUAGUAUUUUUUAGAAAUGCAAUUGUAAAUAUUAAUGUUAUUAAAAAAUUUCGGUACAAUCCAAUACCCGCCAAAUUGUGCUAACGGUAAAAUAAGCGGAGAAAUUGUAAAGUUUA